UACGGAGGGGGCUAGCGUUGUUCGGAAUUACUGGGCGUAAAGCGCACGUAGGCGGCUUUGUAAGUUAGAGGUGAAAGCCCAGGGCUUAACCCUGGAAUUGCCUUUAAGACUGCAUCGCUAGAAUUGUGGAGAGGUAAGUGGAAUUCCGAGUGUAGAGGUGAAAUUCGUAGAUAUUCGAAAGAACACCAGUGGCGAAGGCGACUUACUGGACACAUAUUGACGCUGAGGUGCGAAAGCGUGGGGAGCAAACAGG
rnacentral:rRNA from 1 species